rnacentral:rRNA from 1 species
UACGUAGGGUGCGAGCGUUAAUCGGAAUUACUGGGCGAAAGCGUGCGCAGGCGGUUCGUUGUGUCGGUGGUGAAAUCCCCCGGGCUUAACCUGGGAAUGGCCAUGGAAACUGGCGAACUGGAGUCCGGAAGAGGAGAGUGGAAUUCCUGGUGUAGCGGUGGAAUGCGCAGAUAUCAGGAGGGAACACCCGGUGGCGAAGACGGGGUCUCUGGGGCAACAACUGACU